rnacentral:misc_RNA from 1 species
UAACAGCAGCAUGAUUUUACUCCUCAGAGCGAGCUAGUAUAUAUUGAGCUAAAAAUCAGCUCAAGGCAUCAGUCGUCAACACUGAGGUGACAGCGAAGACACAGUUUAAGUUUUUUAUUCAAGAAAGAAAACCAGAGGAGUUUAUAUUUAAAGCAAUACCACACCACAAAAAAAAAUAAAAAUGUUAAAAAAUAAAAUGUUACCAAAGUUGCCUUUAUUGCUUACAACGCUCGCAUUUCUUGUGAUACUUCAUGGAGCUGUUGGCCGUCCAAUGCCCAAAGCAGAUACACCCAAAGAUAUGAUCAACAAAUUGCAGAGCAUCUUCAAAAUAGACGAAGGCCUUAUGGUAUAUAACACAGGAGUGGCAAGAGAAGAACUUGAGGAUGACGAAAUCGUUUGCGCCGAACGUCGAGCUGGCAAGUCAUAUUGCAAGGAGGUUGAAAACUAUAUGGAGGCGACGCGACUGGACAAAAUUGACCCAGAACAGUUUGCUAAAUUCAAAGAAUAUUUCAUAGAUGAUUUGGCACAACCACAGUUGGUGGCAACUCGCAUGGAUUUUGGCAAGUCACCAUGCAAUAGUAAGACAAACAUUAUAUACCCGGAGAGUGCUGAGUCAGAGGAUUCGAAAUGGUUGUUGAUAGUGCAGCAUGCACAACACAAGCAAGGUGUUUUGGUAGAGGAGUGCGAAAAUGUGGGGCAACCUUGCGAAGAGAAUAGUACUUUGCCGCUGGAGGAUAUGCCGAAAUGUAAACAAAACUUCAGCUAUCGCAAGUUGGUUGUGUUGGUGAAUGGCGAGAUGAAGGAGGAAAUGGUUAAAUUGCCAACUACUUGCGAGUGUAAAAUGUGUUCCACAUAAAGAUAUAUUCUAUAAAAUACUAGUAUGAAAUCAAAUUUGAAUAGAAUAGUGCAGAUAUUUUAAGUAAAAUACUGUUUUGUGAAUUUGUAAAAAGAAAUUUAAGAUUUAAUAAAAUUUAGUUAGUAC